rnacentral:rRNA from 1 species
AUUGAACGCUGGCGGCAGGCCUAACACAUGCAAGUCGGACGGUAGCACAGGGGAGCUUGCUCCCCGGGUGACGAGUGGCGGACGGGUGAGUAAUGUCUGGGAAACUGCCCGGUGGAGGGGGAUAACUACUGGAAACGGUAGCUAACACCGCAUAACGUCUUCGGACCAAAGUGGGGGACCUUAGGGCCUCACGCCACCGGAUGUGCCCAGAUGGGAUUAGCUAGUAGGUGGGGUAACGGCUCACCUAGGCGACGAUCCCUAGCUGGUCUGAGAGGAUGACCAGCCACACUGGAACUGAGACACGGUCCAGACUCCUACGGGAGGCAGCAGUGGGGAAUAUUGCACAAUGGGCGCAAGCCUGAUGCAGCCAUGCCGCGUGUAUGAAGAGGGCCUUCGGGUUGUAAAGUACUUUCAGCGGGGAGGAAGGCGGUGAGGUUAAUAACCUCGCCGAUUGACGUUACCCGCAGAAGAAGCACCGGCUAACUCCGUGCCAGCAGCCGCAGUAA